GUGAUCUUCUGCGUGUUGCGGACAGAGUCGAUGCGGUUACGGAGGUCCCGGAGGGAGCACCGCACCACCAGGCUGCUGCUGCCGGUGGAGGCGCGGCGGCGGGUGGAGGUGCUGGCAAGCGCGGAGGAGGACCACGCGGUGGAGAGGUGGGAGCACGACAUGGCUAGCUAG
rnacentral:rRNA from 1 species